rnacentral:rRNA from 1 species
AUUGAACGCUGGCGGCAGGCCUAACACAUGCAAGUCGAGCGAGCGGCGGACGGGUGAGUAAUGUCUGGGAAACUGCCUGAUGGAGGGGGAUAACUACUGGAAACGGUAGCUAAUACCGCAUACCAUCAGAUGUGCCCAGAUGGGAUUAGCUAGUAGGUGGGGUAACGGCUCACCUAGGCGACGAUCCCUAGCUGGGCUGAGAGGAUGACCAGCCAGGCUGGAACUGAGGGACGGUCCAGACUCCUACGGGAGGCAGCAGUGGGGAGUAUUGCACAAGGGGCGCAAGCCUGAUGCAGCCAUGCCGAGUGUGUGAAGAAGGCCUUCGGGUUGUAAAGCACUGUCAGCGGAGAGGGAUUACCCGCAGAAGAAGCACCGACUAACUCCGGGCCAGCAGCCGCGGUAAUAC